GGAGAGGUGGCAGAGUGGUCGAUUGCGUCUGACUUGAAAUCAGAUGGACUCGCAAGGGUUCCGGGAGUUCGAAUCUCCCCUUCUCCG
rnacentral:tRNA from 1 species